GCGAAAACUUUACAAUGCGGGGAACCACGAUAACGGGACACCGAGUGCCAGCAUCCUAUGUUGGCUGUCCAUAUGUCUAAAUCACAUGUGUUAGCAAGGGCCGGGCAAGACCGGUGCCAGCCGCCGCGGUAACACCGGCGGCCCGAGUGGUGGCCACUAUUAUUGGGUCUAAAGGGUCCGUAGCCGGUUUGGUCAGUCUUCCGGGAAAUCUGACGGCUUAACCUUUAGGCUUUCGGGGGAUACUACCAGGCUUGGGACCGGGAGAGGUAAUAGGUACUACGGGGGUAGGAGUGAAAUCUUGUAAUCCCUGUGGGACCACCAGUGGCGAAGGCGUCUUACCAGGACGGGUCCGACGGUGAGGGACGAAAGCUGGGGGCACGAACC
rnacentral:rRNA from 1 species